AACAAACAAUACAUUUUAUAGCGUAAUAUCAUAGCGUUUUUUAAAGAAUGCUAUAGAAAACUUUCGGUGGUAAACUUUCAUAGCGUUCAUGGGAUUGGGCGCCAAGUGUCCGUGAAAAUUUUGAACGUGGGAAAAUGUAAAGCUUACUUUUUCACUAUUCCCCCUGUAUAGACUUUCCCAACCCCAACUUUCCCAAUUCUCUCCGCCAAGUUACUCUCUCUCUCUCUCUCUCUCUCUCUCUCACACACACACACACGAGAUCAAGAAGAACUGGGUCAUCCAAAACCAUUGCCGUUGCCAAUUGACCCUCAUCGGCAGUCCCACCAUCCGACAUCGAUCCCGUCUGUGGCCUACUAGACCUGCGCUUGUCUGACCUGAGCAUAAGAUGGGUAGCUGAUGAGUUCUUCAAUUGCUAAGGCAAUUGGGGCAGUUAGUAAUAUUCCGAAGUACCAAAAAAAAUUGGGCACCUAGUUGCAUGAUCAAGAAACCAAGUGAUGGGAAGCUGAUUGGCUAUAACAUGGACUAUCUUGGAUCUAUUGAGGAAGCACUAGGAGGUUGCUUGUAUUUGAGCUAUCCGUAGUUUGAAAUUCGGGUUUGCUUUCAAAUAACAUUUUCUUUUUGCCGGCUCAAAUGGUUCAAGCAAUGAAUCUAUUUCACCUCUUGCUGGUAAACUCUUUGUUGUCAAUGGAGCUGGCUGUAUAUAUAUACCAUAAUGAUUGUUCUUUCUCAUGCAAUACAUCAUUUGUUUUUCUUGUUCUCUAUAACACUACAACACAUAUGGCUUUCUAUAACGUAAUUUUACAGCGUUCUUUUGGUAAUGCUAUUAUUGAGUAGCCAUUAUAGCGUUCUUCAAGGCUAAAAGAAAGGAAAUACACUGAAGGCUUUUGAACAGCGUUUCAUUAAAGCCAUACACAGCAUUCUGCGAAAAUCAGAAGCACCAGUCUCCUCGCUCCCAAAAAUCAAACGGACCUUAGAAGUUUUCAAUCGAUUUCAGAAUCUUGAAAUACGAGUCGUACUCUAGCUAUGAACUGGUGCGAGAUUUCUCAAGAACUGGGGGGAGAUUUCUAGGGUUUUAAUCUUCAGUAUCAAGUAUGUUUCUUGUUCUCUAUUUCUUUUGAUCGAUUAACCUUUGUUCCCUACUGUUAGCCCGACCUUCAAGUUUCUCUGCCCCCUCCUUUCUUAAUCGGAGGAAAAUCAAAACCAUUUUCAAACCUAACGCACUAGUUGAAGCAAAGAGUCAGGGAGUCCAAAUACAAGGGUACGAUUUCAAUCUUCCUUCCUUAGCACGAGAUAAUCAGUUUAGGGUUUACAAGGUUAUCCAUUUAAAGGGUUAGGAUUUACUUUAUCUGAGGUAUCAAUUUUCAAUCGAAAACAAGCUUCAAUGGAAUCUCUUGCAUUCUUCUCUUCGGCAUCUCAUGAAGCAAUCAAAACCUGCUCAGAACUUCUUGCAACCAUCACACGACCACCAUAUCCGGAAACGGAAAUCUUGCAAAUUCCGUUGAAAUGAUUUUGCUGUUACUGAAUUUUGGAUUUCUUAAAAGUAUGCGUUCUACGUGUUCGAUGAAAUGAGAAAUGAGAAAGAUACACGCACACGCGCAUAUGGAUAACCUAACCCAUCUUACGAAAUAAUUUUGUGCAAUCUAUAGAGCCUUAAUUUCCAUAUAACAGCAUGUAUUUGCAAAGUACCAAUUGAUUAUCUUUUCAUCCUGUUAUAAUAUAUGCCCUUGGUUUUGUCCCUUUUUCUCUCGCUCUUUCUCAGCAGCUUCAAAACAUCAUUCAAAAUAUGGAAUUUACCUUUGUAAUGCUGCAACCAUUUUCCUAGCGAGUUUCGGUAUAAGAUUUCGGCAAUUGCAAGAAUGUUGGAUCUCAAACCUGUCUCUCCGCCUCAAUAACUCUACGAGACUAACGGUUAUGCCAUCCACUUGGUAUUUCUUUCUCUCUGCUGUCCC